UACGUAGGGUGCGAGCGUUGCCCGGAUUUAUUGGGCGUAAAGGGCGCGUAGGCGGCCACGCACGUCCGUUGUGAAAUCGCCCGGCUCAACUGGGCGGGGUCAGCGGAUACGGUGUGGCUCGAGCAAGCUAGGGGGCAAUGGAAUUCCCGGUGUAGUGGUGGAAUGCGUAGAUAUCGGGAGGAACACCAGUGGCGAAGGCGGUUGCCUGGAGCUUUGCUGACGCUGGGGCGCGAAAGCGUGGGAGCGAUCCGG
rnacentral:rRNA from 1 species